rnacentral:lncRNA from 1 species
UUAUACAUCUUUAUAUGAGUACAUCAAACACCACAUUGAGCAUCAAUCUAGACAUUGUCAAACAUCACUUUGACCAUUAUUUAUCACUAUUAUAACCACCUUUCAUCACCACUUUAUCCAUCUAUGAUCUAUAAUUUGACCACGAUCGACUACCAUUAUGAUUACCACUCAGUAGACCAUCAUCAAAUGCCCUUAUGGCCAUUGCUAACUGAUCGGUCACCAUUUCCAUUGAAUUUCCACCGUUAAUCCGACAUAUUUUCAUCACUUUGGUAAGAUUUAUGUUUGUUUUUAGUUGCUUUGGAGUCAUUUAUCAUGUUUUGUUGGUUUGAUAUCACAUUGCAUUCGAUUACAAGUUUAUGUCAAAAAGAUCUCGUUUAUGCUUCGUUUGGUAGUGUCAUUGUUACAGGCCACUGCACAGGUUUAAAAGCAAUAAUGGUGAAGUUAUGGAUACUCAGAAAGGCAAAAAUAUGAAGAAACAAGAGGUCAACACGGGCACCCUUAUGCCACAACACUGCCCGUGUUGUUGAUCAGACAGAGCAAAAUGGGAGAAGAAAAACAGAGAUCAACACGGGCACCUGUGUGUCACCACACGGUCGUGUUGAUUAAAAUAGUGCAUUAACACGGGCACCCGUGUGGAGGAACACGGCCCGUGUUGUUGCCUCUGUAGCCUGUGCUGAAAAUAAUUAUAAUGAAGAGCAACACGGGCACCCGUGUGGUGACACACGGCCGUGUUGAUUGGACGCGGCUUGGAAACCCUAACUUUUGCUUUGUGAACCGAUUCUGCUCAUUAAGGGUAGUUUGAACCUUUUGCUUGGAGGAGAUUCAUCUGAAGUUAUAAGAAGGCUUGGAAGAGAAAGAAGAAGGCACUUUUUGACGGACGAAAGAAAACAUUGCAUUGGAGAAGAUAGCUAUUACGAAGGAUUUGAAGGCGGCGAGAUUCAAGGGCAUCAACCAUUGAAGAUCAAAAUCUCCUAAUUCUUUGUAAUGUCUAAUUUUUACAUUAUGAAUUCUUUAAGUACUAUGAGAGGCUAAACCCCCUGAUGCUAGGGGGGUGGUCCUGAGGUUAUCGCAUGUUAUGAAUAUGAACAAAUGAUUUCUUGAUUACUAUGUUAUUUAUUUCAAUUCAAUUGUGUGAUGUUAUUAUGCUUUUGUAUCGGACAAAUACAAAUUGAUCUAUGACUUUCAA